rnacentral:rRNA from 1 species
UACGGGGGGUGCGAGCGUUGUCCGGAAUCACUGGGCGUAAAGGGCGCGUAGGUGGUUUGAUAAGGGUGUGGUGAAAGUCCGGAGCUCAACUCCGGAUCUGCCGUGCCGACUGUCAAACUCGAGGGCUGUAGAGGCAGACGGAAUUCCGGGUGUAGCGGUGGAAUGCGUAGAUAUCAGGAGGAACACCUGUGGUGUAGACAGCUUACUGGACCACUUCUGACGCUGAGACACGAAAGCGUGGGUAGCAAACAGG